GCCAGGCAGACCGGAAAUGAGCGACUGUGAAAUUGGACGGGAGAUUUUCGGGAGGGGCACUGAAAUUCGGGAUUCUCACGGAAAAAUCGGAAGGGUUGGCAAAUAAGGGCGGUGCUCACCUUGCUUACCUAUAUAAAGACUGCUCUCCGUCAAAAACUGAGCACCAUCUGAGUGACUACACCUGCGGCAGUGCGGCACUUCACUUCUUACAGCGGCUGAGACAAACAGUGACGAUUAUAAAGACUGAAAUAGAAGAAAUAAGAAACGGAUAAUUAUCGUCAGCAUUGUUAAUAAAGACUUGAAGCUGCAAUGGAUGGACACGGUGAAAAUGCCACUCCGCUCUAUGUCCUGCGUGUGUGUUCCUGGUUUCGUUUCCAUCUCAUCUACCACCAGACUGACGGACUGGCUGUGAUACUUUAUGGUGACAGAGAGAAGCUUGCUGCGAUAUUCCUGCAGAGGAUGGUGAUGGAGUUCUUCAGGAACUGGA